rnacentral:rRNA from 1 species
AGAGUUUGAUCAUGGCUCAGAAUCAACGCUGGCGGCGUGCCUAACACAUGCAAGUCGAACGCGAAAAUCCCGCAAGGGAUCAGUAGAGUGGCAAACGGGUGAGUAACACGUGAGUAACCUGCCCCGAUGACCGGGACAACCCGAGGAAACUCGGGCUAAUACCGGAUGUGGCGCACAGGCGUAAGCCUGUUCGCUAAAGGAAGCUUCGGCCUCCGCAUUGGGAGGGGCUCGCGGCCCAUUAGCUUGUUGGUGGGGUUACGGCCUACCAAGGCGACGAUGGGUAGCUGGUCUGAGAGGACGAUCAGCCACACUGGGACUGAGACACGGCCCAGACUCCUACGGGAGGCAGCAGUGGGGAAUCUUGCGCAAUGCGCGAAAGCGUGACGCAGCAACGCCGCGUGGGGGAAGACGGCCUUCGGGUUGUAAACCCCUUUCAGGAGGGACGAAGGUUCGCCGGUGAAUAGCCGUGCGGAUUGACGGUACCUCCAGAAGAAGCUCCGGCUAACUACGUGCCAGCAGCCGCGGUAAUACGUAGGGGGCAAGCGUUGUCCGGAAUCAUUGGGCGUAAAGCGCGCGUAGGCGGCCCUGUAAGUCCGUUGUGAAAGUCAAAGGCUCAACCUUUGAAAGCCGAUGGAUACUGCAGGGCUAGAGUCCGGAAGAGGCGAGUGGAAUUCCUGGUGUAGCGGUGGAAUGCGCAGAUAUCAGGAGGAACACCAAUAGCGAAGGCAGCUCGCUGGGACGGUACUGACGCUAAGGCGCGAAAGCGUGGGGAGCGAACAGGAUUAGAUACCCUAGUAGUCC